UACGUAGGGUGCAAGCGUUGUCCGGAAUUAUUGGGCGUAAAGAGCUCGUAGGCGGUUCGUCGCGUCGGCUGUGAAAACCCGGAGCUCAACUCCGGGCCUGCAGUCGAUACGGGCGGACUAGAGUUCGGCAGGGGAGACUGGAAUUCCUGGUGUAGCGGUGAAAUGCGCAGAUAUCAGGAGGAACACCGGUGGCGAAGGCGGGUCUCUGGGCCGAUACUGACGCUGAGGUGCGAAAGCGUGGGGAGCAAACAGG
rnacentral:rRNA from 1 species